CCUACGGGUGGCAGCAGUGGGGAAUAUUGGGCAAUGGGCGCAAGCCUGACCCAGCAACGCCGCGUGAAGGAAGAAGGCUUUCGGGUUGUAAACUUCUUUUAUCAGGGACGAAGCAAGUGACGGUACCUGAUGAAUAAGCCACGGCUAACUACGGGACAGCAGCCGCGGAAAAACGUAGGUGGCAAGCUUUAUCCGGAUUUAGUGGGAGUAAAGUGCGUGUAGGGGGGAGUGCAAGUCAGAUGUGAAUACUAUGGGCCCAACACAUCGCCUGCAUUUGAUACUAUACUUCUGGAGUGCUGGUGAGGCAAUAGGAAUGUCGGGUGUAGCGGUGAAAUGCGUAGAUAUACGGAGGAACACCAGUUGCGAAGGCGGAUUGCUGGACAGUAACUGACGCUGAGGCGCGAAAGCGUGGGGAGCAAACAGGAUUAGAUACCCCGGUAGUC
rnacentral:rRNA from 1 species